AUCAACAGGUAACAGAGCUACGACUUCUCUCCCGGUCACACCGUGGCGGUUAGGCUAACUACUCCUGGUGGGUGUCCCACCUCCUGAGGUGCGUAUGAACCCGGGAACGCAGAACUACCUGACAUACACAGAUCCAGUGAUUACGAUCUGACUCAUCACACCAGGCCUGGUUGCAGACUGCGCAUCUGACACUACGAUCAACCCUGGGAUUACAGCUCGCAGCGGGCGACCUCUUCCGACGGGGCAGGACGUGUGAAAGUCCAUGGGCGGGCCAUGAGGACUUGACGUCAUCCCCAAUUCUUCCUCCGGUUUGUCACUGGCAGUCGGAGCGUUUUUCGUAGCAAUCCCACGGCUGGUUGCGCUGCGGACUUAACCAACAUUUCACGACCAACGAGCUGACGACAGCUAUGUAGCACCUGCAAGUCCUUAUGGUUACUCCAAUCUCUCUGAUUCCAGACAUCAGCGGGUAAGGUUUUUACGGCGUUGCAUCGAAUUAAUAUUGCUUAGGGUCUCGUCACUUUGAGUUUUGUCUUGCGACCGUACUCUAUGGUCAACUUCACGCGUGUAGCAGUGAAAUGCGUAGAUAUGCGGAGGAACAACACCGAUGGCGAAGGCAGCCUCUGAUAACAUCGACGCUCAUGCACGAAAGCGUGGGGAGCAAACAGGAUUAGAUACCCUGGUAGUCCACGCCCUAAACGAUGUCAAAUUAGCUGCUGGGGCCUUCGGGCCUUGUAGCAGCUAACGCGUGAAGUUGACCGCCUGGGGAGUACGGUCGCAAGAUUAAAACUCAAAGCGAAUUGACGGGGAUCCGCACAAGCGGUGGAUGAUGUGGAUUAAUUCGAUGCAACGCGAAAAACCCUACCUACCCCUUGACAUGUCUGGAAUCCCGAAGAGAUUUGGGAGUGCUCGCAAGAGAACCGAACAUAGGUGCUGUAUGGCUGUCGUCAGCUCGUGUCGUGAGAUGCUGGGUUAAAGUCCUGCAACGAGCGCAACCCUUGUCAUUAGUUGCUACGAAAGGGCACUCUAAUGAGACUGCCGGUGACAAACCGGAGGAAGGUGGGGAUGACGUCAAGUCCUCAUGGCCCUUAUGGGUAGGGCUUCACACGUCAUACAAUGGUCGGGACAGAGGGUCGCCAACCCGCGAGGGGGAGCCAAUCCCAGAAACCCGAUCGUAGUCCGGAUCGCGUCUGCAACUCGACUGCGUGAAGUCGGAAUCGCUAGUAAUCGCGGAUCAGCAUGUCGCGGGUGAAUACGUUCCCGGGUCUUGUACACACCGCCCGUCACACCAUGGGAGUGGGUUUUACCAGAAGUAGUUAGCCUAACCGUAAGGAGGGCGAUUACCACGGUAGGAUUCAUGACUGGGGUGAAGUCGUAACAAGGUAG
rnacentral:misc_RNA from 1 species